rnacentral:tRNA from 3 species
UCCGAAGACCGGAGGUUAAAUCCCUCCCUAGCGCCA